rnacentral:tRNA from 1 species
GGGGUUAUAGCUCAGUUGGUAGAGCGUCUGCUUUGCAUGCAGAAGGUCUAGUUCGAUUCCCUAUGACUCCA